rnacentral:tRNA from 1 species
AUAGCUCAGCUGGUUAGAGUGCACCCCUGAUAAGGGUGAGGUCACAAGUUCAAGUCUUGUU